rnacentral:lncRNA from 1 species
UCUCUUCAAGAAUUCUCUCAUUCCUAAACAAAACAUCCUAAGAGAGUCAUCAAUAAUCAUGGCUCUCUCACAUCCUAUGAUAAUUUUCUCUCUUUUUCUUACAUUUAUAGCCCUUUCUGCUGCCCAAUCCCCCAUGAUGGCCCCAACAAUGCCACCAUCCACCAUGUCAAUGCCACCAACUACUUCCACCACCACUCCUCCACCAAUGUCCGCCAUGUCACCACCACCAUCCGCCAUGUCACCACCACCA